rnacentral:rRNA from 1 species
AUUGAACGCUGGCGGCAGGCCUAACACAUGCAAGUCGAGCGGAUGAAGGGAGCUUGCUCCUGGAUUCAGCGGCGGACGGGUGAGUAGAGCCUAGGAAUCUGCCUGGUAGUGGGGGAUAACGUCCGGAAACGGGCGCUAAUACCGCAUACGUCCUGAGGGAGAAAGUGGGGGAUCUUCGGACCUCACGCUAUCAGAUGAGCCUAGGUCGGAUUAGCUAGUUGGUGGGGUAAAGGCCUACCAAGGCGACGAUCCGUAACUGGUCUGAGAGGAUGAUCAGUCACACUGGAACUGAGACACGGUCCAGACUCCUACGGGAGGCAGCAGUGGGGAAUAUUGGACAAUGGGCGAAAGCCUGAUCCAGCCAUGCCGCGUGUGUGAAGAAGGUCUUCGGAUUGUAAAGCACUUUAAGUUGGGAGGAAGGGCAGUAAGUUAAUACCUUGCUGUUUUGACGUUACCAACAGAAUAAGCACCGGCUAACUUCGUG